AUUGAACGCUGGCGGCAUGCCUUACACAUGCAAGUCGAACGGUAACAGGUCUUCGGAUGCUGACGAGUGGCGAACGGGUGAGUAAUACAUCGGAACGUGCCUAGUAGUGGGGGAUAACUACUCGAAAGAGUGGCUAAUACCGCAUGAGAUCUACGGAUGAAAGCAGGGGAUCGCAAGACCUUGUGCUACUAGAGCGGCCGAUGGCAGAUUAGGUAGUUGGUGGGAUAAAAGCUUACCAAGCCGACGAUCUGUAGCUAGUCUGAGAGGACGAUCAGCCACACUGGGACUGAGACACGGCCCAGACUCCUACGGGAGGCAGCAGUGGGGAAUUUUGGACAAUGGGCGCAAGCCUGAUCCAGCAAUGCCGCGUGCAGGACGAAGGCCUUCGGGUUGUAAACUGCUUUUGUACGGAACGAAAAGCCCUGGGUUAAUACCCUGGGGUCAUGACGGUACCGUAAGAAUAAGCACCGGCUAACUACGUGCCAGCCGCCGCCGUAA
rnacentral:rRNA from 1 species